ACGCUCGACACCUACGGGAGGCAGCAGUGGGGAAUAUUGCACAAUGGGGGAAACCCUGAUGCAGCGACGCCGCGUGGAGGAAGAAGGUCUUCGGAUUGUAAACUCCUGUUGUUGGGGAAAAAGAGGAUGGUACCCCAACAAGGAAGUGACGGCUAACUACGUGCCAGUAGCCGCGGUAAUCUGAGCGGGCUGGCAAGGC
rnacentral:rRNA from 1 species